rnacentral:rRNA from 1 species
UUGGUGAUUCAUGAUACUUAACGAAUCGCAUGGCUUGGCGCGGGGAUGGUUCAUUCAAAUUUCUGCCCUAUCAACUUUCGAUGGUAGGAUAGUGGCCUACCAUGGUAUCAACGGGUAACGGGGAAUUAGGGUUCUAUUCCGGAGAGGGAGCUGAGAAACGGUACCACAUCCAAGGAAGGCAGCAGGCGCGCAAAAUUACCCAAUCCCGACACGGGGAGGUAGUGACAAUAAAUACUGAUACAGGGCUCUUUUGGGUCUUGUAAAUUGGAAUGAGUACAAUUUAAAUCCCUUAACGAGGAACAAUUGGAGGGCAAGUCUGGUGCCAGCAGCCGGGUAAUUCCAGCUCCAAUAGCGUAUAUUACAAGUUGUUGCAGUUAAAAAGCUCGUAGUUGAACUUCAGACCUGGUUGGGCGGUCCGCUUAACGGCCGUGUACUGUCUGACUGGGGCCUUACCUCUUGGUGAGCCGGGCGUGCCCUUCAUUCGGCUGUGCGUUGGGGAAACCAAGGAACUUUUUAACCUUUGGAGAA